UGCCACUCAGUGGCUCAGUGGCAGAGCUCUGCUUUGCAUGCAGAUGGUCGCGGGUUCAACCCCAGCAAGCAUCUCUGGGUAA